rnacentral:rRNA from 1 species
GUUCCUACGGGAGGCAGCAGUCGGGAAUAUUGCGCAAUGGAGGAAACUCUGACGCAGUGACGCCGCGUGCAGGAAGAAGGUUUUCGGAUUGUAAACUGCUUUAGACAGGGAAGAAAAAAGACAGUACCUGUAGAAUAAGCCCCGGCUAACUACGUGCCAGCAGCCGCGGUAAUACGUAGGGGGCAAGCGUUAUCCGGAUUUACUGGGUGUAAAGGGAGCGUAGACGGCAUGGCAAGUCUGAUGUGAAAACCCGGGGCUCAACCCCGGGACUGCAUUGGAAACUGUCAGGCUAGAGUGUCGGAGAG